rnacentral:lncRNA from 1 species
AGAGUAGAAAAUUUAGGGAAUACUCUGUUUUUCUCAAAUAUUAGCUCUUACCAUAUAGAAACAAAUCUUUAUUUAGAAAAUACAAAUUUUUAUUAUUUGAUAUUUCAUGGAACACGGCAACCUACCUUUUGAUUAUUUCCUAUGCUGAUGUCAACAUGACAACAAUCCUUUUUCACUAUGGAAUAAUUAAUAUCACACGUAUUUUGAAGUGAAUUUGGAACAUUCUUCGGUACAUUUCUGGAAACUGGGGCUAAACAUUAAUUUUCCCGAUACACAUCCUAGAAAAACAUGUAUCCUCUCAGUGUGAUAGACAGUAGGUUUGACUAGAAAGAUGUGAUAUUUUUGGUAGCUAGGUGACCGGUGAUCAGACUGAGAAAUUCUCACCUCCGAAACAUUCGCUGCUUUAAACUCCCUCUUUUCUCUUUAAAAAAAAAUUGGGGAAGGGGAAAUUAUUUGUUGGAAAUUCCGCCUUCAUUGCGGUCCACCCCUAGCCGCCUAAUUGCAACAUUUGGGUUGCCUUCAUUGCAGCCUUCAACACCUUCAUCGUGUUGGGUUUGAGGGGGUGGAUUUUUUCCCACGGUGCUUGGAGAUAUGGUGUGUGUAGUACUGUAAUGUUUAUAAAGCUUGGACAACCCUCACCUUACAAGCCGGUUUUGUAAGGAUUAGUUGAGCCCAACUCAAAUUUUAAGAUUAUUAUUAAUAACGAUGACACUAAUGACCAUUUUACGGUAGUCCGUGAUGGGAUUUGAACCAUGCCCUUUGAGGUUAACAAGUCAAACUCUUAACACUAAAAUGACACCUAUUGCACAAAAGUAGAAAAUGAAUAUUCUGGGCUUUGUCUAAGUCCUUACUUUGAAGGGCCUCAUAAUUAUUGCUAGCCUUCAAAGUAAGGGCUUCAUAAAAAUUAUUUCGAUGAAGGGCCUCCCUUGCACUCACUUCACAACAUCUCAUUAGAUAAUGUAAGCCUUUCAAAUUGUGAGGCUGAUACCCAACAGCUUCUCCCCUGCACUCAAAUCACAUGAAGGGCCUCAUAAAAAUUAUUUGCAUGAAUGUAUGUUGCCUUUGUUGUUGCUUCUAUCUCAGGGACACACUUAUACUAUCCUGCUAUUAAUACUUGUUAUUUUAGUUUAAAAUUUAGGCACAUUUCUGUUGCAGAUAGGUUCUUUCACAUGGUCAUUGUACGGUAAUUGGGAAAUUUGAAACUCCUGGACUUUGUUGGUUGAUUUAAGUAUUAAAUUUGGUACUUGUGUGGUUUGCAUUCAAUUUUAAUUUUAUGGAACUAAGGUUGGGUUUGAUAUGGUAGUGUGUGGGUAGGAUGGGAUUCCCACAAAUGGAAGUAGAGGUCUGGUAAAUCUGAUUGGCAAUCAUCUUUUUCCAUUGCAAUUCUUGAAACUAUGUUAUUUGGUUAUUUUUAUUGUUGGGAACAUGUUAAAUUUCUUCUAAGUUAUAGGAAUAACUUUUGAUUUAACUGUCAUAGGAUUUCAUCAUGUAAAGUUUAUAGUGCUGUUCCACCUCCACAGCCGGUAUAUACUGCUGUUCCACCUCCACAGCAGGUAUAUACUGCUGUUCCAUCACCCCAGCAGGUUUAUAGUGGCCCUUCAUUGUCAAAGCAGAUUUCUACUGCCAUUUCACCCGUACAACAAGGUUACAGUGCUGUUCCACCCCCACAGCAGUUGUUGGCUGGAGUUCAGUGUUCGGAGGCAAGCACAGACGUAACCACUACUUCAAUGUCAUUGACUGCAGUUUCGACACCAGUUCCUACAGCAAACAUGAUUGGUUAUGCUCCUCCUUUAGUAUCAGGUGGAACUAGCUAUAUUGGAUAUGGUGGAAUAUAUCCUCAAGCUACCCCAUUGCAACAAGUUGCUCUUGCCUUGAGGCACUCACCUCCUGUUGCUUCAACAGUUGCUCCCGCAACAUCGGCACCAAACAGAGAGUCCAAGUCUACCACAAACUCUAAUCAUGAAAAAGAGGAUAAACGGACAGCUCAGAGGCGAAAAUUUCAAGAACAGCCAGUUGUUUCAAAGGGCGCAAAACACAAUCAGGUCAUUGCAUUGCCAUUGAUAAAAUCUUUUAAUAUAUCAUUUUGCAUGAUGCAGGGGGGAUAUCAUUGAAUCUCUUGAUAACUAGUUAGGUUGCAGCAAAUAAAAGCCUUGGUUUAUGGGAAGUCUGGUUUAAUCUCUUUGCAUUCAGAUAUACUGUUAAUUGGAUGUGCAAAUUUGAAUAUAUUAAAAAGCAUCAAAGCAAUAAUUAUCUGACGUUAGGGCUGUAAACGAGGAGCACUGGGGAAUUGGGAAAUGAACCGGGGAAAUUAAACCACCAACUAAUUACUUAAAACACCCUCUCAUAUUGGAUCCUAACAAAUUCUGACGAGAACAAAUGAAAGAAUCAUUAUUUGAAAAGAAAAGAUUGACAAACCAAGGCUGAUAACUCCCUUCUGAAGGGACAACUCCCUCACAACCAACUUGGUUAGUAUACAACAUGAACACAUUCAUUACAAACUUUCCUUCCCUUUCAUAUUUUUACAGACUUCAGAGUUUUCAAUAGCAAUGUAGGUAAAGAAUUUUUACGAUCCACAUUGCUAUUGAAUAGAUUAGAUUAUUCAUUAUUACUUUAUUUGAACGUAGUUAUCUUUAUUUUUUAUUUUUGCUUUUAAAAUGAAAGGUAACGAAGUAAAUAGUAGCAAAAUAUCAAAUGCUUCCGAAAGGGAAGUCAAAUGCCUAAGUAUAUGUAGCAGAUCUGCUAUAAGCUAAUCCCUCAAAUGACUGAUUUGACAAAAACUUCCUUUUUUCCAUAAUAGAAGCAAUUAUUUUUACCCUUUUAUUAUUCCUAUUUGUCCCGGUUCUCCUUAUCUUCUGAUCACAGCCUUGGGUGUGGUUCUCCAUACUUACCUGAUGUAUUUUCACUUUCCACUGUAUGUUUGGGUGAAAUUGCCAUUUGACAAAUAAAUUAAAGGCUAAAAUAUGGUUUUGGUCCCUGCAAAUAUGCCUCGUUUUGGUUUUAGUCCCUGUAAAAAAAAUUUGUUGUUUUUGGUCCCUGCAAAAUCAAAAGAUUUUACAGGGACUAUUUUUCUAAUAAAUGAGUUCAGUCAUCAUGUGCCACGUGUGCAAAUCAUUACAAAAGUGGAGUCAGGGACCAAAACCAAAAUGAGGCAUAUUUGCAGGGACCAAAAACAACAAAUUUUUUUUACAGGACUAAAACCAAAACGAGGCAUAUUUGCAGGGACCAAAACCAUAUUUUAGCCUAAAUUAAACUAAACCAGUUGUAGAUGGAUAUCAUGAGCAGAUAACCUCUUUUUUUUUUUCUUCCUGUUUUUAUUGCAUCUAGAACUAUCUUUGGAGUGUGGAUACAUUGACAUAUUAAACAGAACUUCAAAUUUUUUUCUAUUCUCAUUUAUAAUUUUUCUUUUAUAAAAACAAUAGUAUUACAAAACUUAUCUUGCAAAAGCUCUUAAUAUCUAACUCCGUUCUGGUCUAAACAUAUUAUCUUGUGCUGACUUUUGAUACUUAAUAUUCCAGGUAUUUUCUCUGACCUUCUAUGCUGACACUGGACCUGUCUGUUGGGCUGUUGGUUUAUGUUUGACAGGGUUUUCUGUUUUGGAAAGUUUGCUUGUGCACAGUAUACGCCCUUGCCAGUCCAAAUGUUUUAUGAUUUAUCUCUCCAUUGGUAAAGUUGUGGCAAGCUUGUGCUUUGCCCUCCAUUUUUGCAUACAUGGGCUCCAAAAGAAAAUAAAUACUAUAAUAAGAAAAUGAAUAAAAUUUAUACGUGAUUAAGAGUCACUAUUGAACAUCCAAUAUUUUUAAAACCAAGAUGAUGUCAGCCAUUUCCUAAGCAAAGCCAUCUUACUUAAAAUUUUGCAUCUCACUUUAACUAGUUGCCUCCACAAAAUCUUGUUAGACUAAUCCUACAUCCCGCGAUAUGAUUAGUUAAAAAUAGUUGUGUUCAUAAACUCAUCAUUCAUUAAAAAUAUCAAUUUUUUGAGUGCGACCCUUAAAGUUAACCCACCACUUGACAAAAAUCUCAGUUCUUUUUGCAAAACAUGUAUAUCUUGGUAUUUGGCAUCAAUGACUCAUUUGGCAUUGGCAUUGGCAUGAAAGCCCCCAAAAUAUUGGGAACAUUUGAGCUGCUAAUAUACAGUUAUGUUGCCAAUUAUACUAUUCGUUGACAUUUUUUUUUUUUAAGGAAUUCGUUGAUAUAUGUUAUCACAACAAAUUCCUAUUCGUGUUACGUUUCAAUUAUAUUAAUUAAUCAGCCACUUAAAACAGUUUUUGCGCGAAAAAUUUUCCAUUGACUGUUAUUAUCUGUGACAUUAAAUCAGGUUAUAGAAUGAUAGUUGACGAUAUUUGCCAGUUUAUCCUACCUUAUAUUGUUGUGCAUUGUUUUCUUUAUUUGUUUUAUUUUUUAUAGUUCAGUCUCAAUUUACUUGUAGUUUUGUGUAUUGGAGCAAUUAGUAAAAUAUCUGAUUCAGAAGUUGUUUGUAUUUUUGUAUUGUUCCACUCUAACUCAAUUGCAGGGAUCGGAACUUCUAAAACCUAAUGAACGAUAUGAGAACUUGGUUGUGAGGAAUAUAUCAACUAUGCCUGCUCCUAAGAAGUUGGUCCAGCCAUCGUCUAAUGGAAUUCCAGCACCCCCACCAAGAACUACGCCUCCACCACCUCCAAAAAGAGCUAUGCCCCCACCACCUCCUCCACCUAAAUUUUAUGAUUCAAUUGAAGUUAAAGUACAAGACAAGAGCAAUAGUUUACGGAAGACAAAAUCUGAUGCUAUUCCUGGUUCGCAUUUAUCAACUUUAAUAUUGUUUUGAUGUUUCAUUAUGUGUUCUCUAUAUAAUGUGUAUGUAUGAAACUUUUACUGUCUGCUAAGUGUGAUGAUUCUUUAAUUGACUUUGUAAUGUUUUCUUUAUUGUCCAUCUUUUAGAUUUGUGUGUAAUUUUAGGUAUUUAUUUCAGAUACUUUGGUCAAGCUAAUGGAAUAUGGUGACGACGACGACGACGAUGAUCUAGACGAUUCAAAUGCGGAAAUGCCUCCUCGCACAGCCCAAGCAAUUGGGGCUCAAAAGCCUUUCUGGGCCUUGUGAUCUGUAGUGUGGAUGUCAGACAUAAGUGAUGUAAAUAAGCAAUUGUUUUGGUUGAGAUUUAGCCAUUUCAUCAGUGUUCUUGGUGAUUGCUGGUUAGUUACUUUUCAGUGCAAUGGCGGGUGGAGAUCCCUGAGCAUGAUUUUUGGAGAAAAGAGAGUUGGUUGUCAGGUAGCAUUUGAAAUCUACAGGCUAUAUUGCACAUUCUCAUCUGCUUUCCAGAUGUCUGUUGUAAUUUUUUGUCCUAAUUUCAGUAUGCAUUGCAUAUACACCAGUAGUCGAUUUUUUUAGUAGUUUAGUUUGCCAUCAAUAUGAUGAUAGUUGGCGAACUCUUUACAACUAGUCCUAACUGAUAACUGAAACUGUAGCUCCCAGUCCCAGUUUGUGAAAUAUGUUUGUAUUUCCAUCCUCCUAUUACGUUUUACC